UACGUAGGGUCCGAGCGUUGUCCGGAAUUAUUGGGCGUAAAGAGCUCGUAGGCGGUUUGUUACGUCUGCUGUGAAAUCCCGAGGCUCAACCUCGGGCCUGCAGUGGGUACGGGCAGACUAGAGUGCGGUAGGGGAGACUGGAAUUCCUGGUGUAGCGGUGAAAUGCGCAGAUAUCAGGAGGAACACCGGUGGCGAAGGCGGGUCUCUGGGCCGUAACUGACGCUGAGGAGCGAAAGCAUGGGGAGCGAACAGG
rnacentral:rRNA from 1 species